CUGCCUUUCUGCCGUCCCACCCCCCGCCGGCCUUUGCUUUUUUCCUGCCGACCUAUGCUCUAUGAACUUAUCUGAACAGUACACUUCCUGCAGUGGUUGUAUGCCAGCCUGGAGUACUCUGUGCAGGUCAGGAAAGUAUUCUGCAAUCACAGCCUGAAGGGAGAAAUAGCCACUCCAUAAUCUUUUCCUACAUCAAACUAAUCUGAAUUAUUCUGUCAGAGUCAGAAACCAGACACCAGGGGAAAGCUCCUGAACUUGAGAUGUCAAAAGCAUCUGGUCUGCUUCCUAUUGAUCAUGGACUUGAACAGUUUACUGAUGGAGCCAGCGACAUUUCCUCCCGUGAUGAUUAUUUGUCGGUUUCACUCCAUUGGCUUGAGCUUGAGUUUCCAUGGUAAAGCUCCUUGCUGAGGGCCUGCUCUCACACUGAACUUGAAGGAAAAGCUAAAUGGGAGCUGGAUGCUCCAAUAAUUCAAGAUGCUGAGCACCCAAUGCUAUCGCAGACUGGCAUGCAGCGGGUUAACUGG
rnacentral:lncRNA from 1 species